rnacentral:sRNA from 1 species
AGCACAUGGCCAACUUCUCGAUCCGCGACGAGUGAUCCGCAGUCCGCGCGGGCCGUCACCCCGCGCGGAGCGACGAACCCCUUUUCGAAGGGCUCGGGGAGAGGAACGGUCGGCGAACUCCGGUGUUCGCCGCCGCCCUCUUCCUUCCCCGCCCACAAGGCGGGGUAAAGGAAGCGAACGCCCGGCCGGGAGAUUCACGGCCU